rnacentral:lncRNA from 1 species
GGAAAAUGCUAAUUUAAUUAUUAAUUAUUUAAAUAUUGGCAGCCACAGACUUUCAUACAUUUGUUACAGUUGCUUUAGCCUUGUUCUUGGUAGCUAACAGUGUAUUUGCUUACUUGGGCUUGGCAGUCUGAUUACAGCUUACCAGGGGCUUAUUCAGAUGGGCAUAUCAAUGCAAGUAUUAACAGUGUGAGGUUAAAUUAAAAAAAUAUCACCCUGAACUGUAACCUUUUUAACCUUUUUUCACAAUACAUAUUCUAAACAUCAAGAACAGUUGAAUUGAACCCCUGUGUGUAAUAAGCCCCUAGUAGCUUACCCGAGUCUGGCUUGGUGUUUAGAGAGGAAGAUUCCGGUUGGUCGACGGCCCUUCAGUCAGGCAGGCAGGAGGAGGAGCAGCUUCUCGGGGGACGAAGAACAGAGUCCGCCCCCUUAUCCUGCCCAGGGGCCCUCUCGGCCCCGACCCCGAACCCACCUCCACCAAAUCCACAAAUCAGAGUCUCUCCUGCGAAUGAAGGAGGAGACGGCUGAGGUGGACGAGUUUACCUUCUCACAGGGCACCUCCGACCAGGAAAGCAACGGCUCCGGCAGCUACUACAUCAAACAGGAGCCCUGAGGUCGGGGCGGAGCAGGACAAAUCGGGGCAGGACACACCUCUGGGAAACCCCAGCAAGGUCCGGAACUUGGAGAGUCAAACUAGUCUGGAAUCUCACUCAGACCAAUGCCACAGGCCUUCUAUGGAGUCAGUACAGGAGAUGCCGAUGACAAGGAGAAGGGGGCACUUUCAUGCUUCUGAAAAAUCCUGAAGGGAACAUCCCUCUGAACCAUUUUCUAACCUCGUAGCUGUGUGUGCACAUAAUCACAAUUACACACUCACAAAACCUGGGUCACAUACGUUUGGGCAUUCUCUUUCCUACCACCUACGGAUGACGCAACAUCAUUGUCUCUCUCUCCUGUCUGGAACUUCCAAUCAGACGAGAUAUUCAGAUGGGUAAAAAAAAAUCAACCCUUUCUCUCACAGAAAUGGGAGUCCUGCAAGUCGACACCAGCCCACCCUGCCUCUGCCACAAUCUGGGCCGCGCACAGAGACCUGUAGAAACUGUGAGAACCAUUUAUUGAGCCAGGUCUAGCUUUUUUGUGUGUGUGUGUGUGUGUGUGUGUUGCUGUUUUCAGGUCAGAGAGUCAGCCACUGAACGAACGGCCUGAGGAGAAAAGAGAGGCUGGGAGUAAGAGGAACAGAGUUGUGUAUAUUUUGAUUAUUUUCUUCUGAACAAUAUUGCCAGGUGGACUUACUUUGUUAAUAGUACUUGAAGUCUUUCAUUUUGUAAUGAUUUUGGAGUUGUUUUGGUC